GUCAGGCGUGGAACUUAGUUGACUUCUGAACAGAGUCUUUCAAGCGUGUUCACAGUGACUAAGUUCUUCUCUCGAG
rnacentral:pre_miRNA from 1 species